rnacentral:rRNA from 1 species
ACGUACAAGCAGUGGGAGCACGCUUCGGCGUGUGACUGCGUACCUUUUGUAUAAUGGGUCAGCGACUUAUAUUCUGUAGCAAGGUUAACCGAAUAGGGGAGCCGAAGGGAAACCGAGUCUUAACUGGGCGUUAAGUUGCAGGGUAUAGACCCGAAACCCGGUGAUCUAGCCAUGGGCAGGUUGAAGGUUGGGUAACACUAACUGGAGGACCGAACCGACUAAUGUUGAAAAAUUAGCGGAUGACUUGUGGCUGGGGGUGAAAGGCCAAUCAAACCGGGAGAUAGCUGGUUCUCCCCGAAAGCUAUUUAGGUAGCGCCUCGUGAAUUCAUCUCCGGGGGUAGAGCACUGUUUCGGCAAGGGGGUCAUCCCGACUUACCAACCCGAUGCAAACUGCGAAUACCGGAGAAUGUUAUCACGGGAGACACACGGCGGGUGCUAACGUCCGUCGUGAAGAGGGAAACAACCCAGACCGCCAGCUAAGGUCCCAAAGUCAUGGUUAAGUGGGAAACGAUGUGGGAAGGCCCAGACAGCCAGGAUGUUGGCUUAGAAGCAGCCAUCAUUUAAAGAAAGCGUAAUAGCUCACUGGUCGAGUCGGCCUGCGCGGAAGAUGUAACGGGGCUAAACCAUGCACCGAAGCUGCGGCAGCGACACUAUGUGUUGUUGGGUAGGGGAGCGU